UACGUAGGGUGCGAGCGUUGUCCGGAAUUAUUGGGCGUAAAGGGCUCGUAGGCGGUUUGUCGCGUCGGGUGUGAAAACCUACAGCUUAACUGUGGGCUUGCUUUCGAUACGGGCAGACUUGAGGCAUGCAGGGGAGAACGGAAUUCCUGGUGUAGCGGUGAAAUGCGUCGAGAUCAGGAAGAACACCGGUGGCGAAAGCGCUCUGCUGGACCUUAACUGACACUGAGGGACGAAAGCUAGGGGAGCGAAUGGG
rnacentral:rRNA from 1 species